GUCUCCCGUAGUCUUUGAAAUGGGGAAGGCCAGGACAAGAUGUCGCCUUUCAAGGUGUAAAGGAUCCAUACACAUGGAGCCUGUGUCUGCUGUUCCCGGGGUGGCUCGCGACAAGCCCGUUGCCGGCUGAUAAACUUCACUCAUGGCACCGCGACGGGUGGGGCGCGAAAGCGCAGCCAAGGUAGGCAGGCUGCGGAGGCCUCGAUCAAAGUCAACAGCAAAAGAAAGAUCUGAAAAGAAUGACAUUCCAGUCCUCAUUUCCUUCCCUUUCAGGCUUUGUGGCAUCUUUGAAGAAACAAAAGCUUUACAGAGAAAAGGCUGGUUUGGCAGGGAGGCUGGCUUUUCCCUUCAGCAUGCUUUGCUGUGUUCCUGGCGCUUUUCUCUUUUUAAGCAAAUAAAGCACUUAAAGCUCUGUAGGAUCCACGAGAGUGCAAAACUUCGACUGUUUCCUUAGCUCAGAGGAUCAAAUUUAGUUUUCUCCUGGCUGGUCUUUAUGGUGAGACGGUGGAAAUCCGCAGCAGACCCAGCCAACUGGGCAGAAAGUUUGGGAUAUGCUGAAACGCUGCAGCCUUGUCAGGGGCCCGCCCCCGCUAAUUUGCGGAUUUACUGAACUCGACCCAAAUGAAUUUCCAUGGAAACAACAUGUAGGAAGAAGUCUUUCAAUACUUCUAUUACGUUAAAUGCCAGACCUUUAUUUUCCAUCUUGUUCCGGGUUUGAACACGGAGUAUUCUAAUCCUAUUGCAACAUUUUGUGUUCAGGCUGUGUAGGACGUCCAGAUUGCUGAACCUCAGAAGAAUUGAAGGGUUAGUUCACAAACGAAUAAAAAGCCAGCGGCAUUUAUCCAAAGUUUGUUUAACUCGCCUAACCUCAUGGGCCUGUAAAAAUUCAACCGAAAAUCAUUGAGAAGGGGUUCUCCCAUGAGAUCCCUUGGCACUUUCUGCCUCUGCAUGGAUCAGAAAUACCACGAGAGUAACUUUUUUUUUUUUUUGCUUGCAACAUUUCAACACUCGUAGCUCCAUUCGCAGAUGGAGAAGAGCAGAGGGAAAGAAGGAAUGGGAGAAGCACACGAUUGAACUUUUCUUAACCUAGACGUGACCGCAGCUUUUACAUGAGAUUUCAAGCCAGAACCUCCCUGAUGGAGGCCAACAGCCUCCGCCUAGAAAAUCUCCCGGCCUGGGCGUCUCCUCCACUGAGGUUCUGGUAGACGACGGAAGGUCACUGCACAUCAAGGACAUCUGACAACGGAACCCAGGCUCUGGCCUCCGUGGCCAUUAGUCUGCCUCCCAGGGUGUAUUGGAAACGGGAAUUGCAUCAAUUAUCGAAUUCGACUGCUGCUCAUGAAAGAGCGCCUUUUAUGUCCUCCCUUAGCAGAGGGUGGUGUGUGUAGACGGCUUACAAAAAUAGCCACAAUCCUCAUUCCUACAGAGACCGAAGGGUGAAGAAAAGAUUCUAAAUCCCAUGGUGGUGAGGAUUGCCCGACUCUGGAAAUACACCAAAACCCAUUGGGUUGUACCCUUGAAAAUGGGUGGAUGGUAUGGUACGUGAAUUAUACGGCAAUGAAGCUGCUCUGUCGAAAGAAAUAAGCAGGCUCUCUCCUCCUCUCCGGCUCCGCGCCGUGUGCAGUGUGACUGAACAGCUCUUCCCAUCGAGGAGGAGCUUUUGCCCACCUCUUCGUGGGCUACCUUGGAACCCUCGGUCCUCUGAAGACGGCAGCCGAGGUCGCGCCUGGAGGCCUCUCUCGCCUCUGCUCCUUCUCUUGUCUCUCAUCUCGCUCUGCAAACACACCCCGGCAGGUGAGAGGCCUGUGCGGCCGAGCUGCUCAUCCCAGCCAAGGCCGUCUGAGCCGCCUGCCGGCUGCCUGCUGAUAUCUAGGUGAGCCCAGUCCACCCAGACCAGCCGAGUCCCUCCUUGAACCGCAGGCUCCCGAGGCAUAAAAAUCACUGUUUGAUGAAGAGCACUGGGGUGAUUUGUUCUGCGGCAAUGCCUGCCUGAGACACAUGCCAUCUUGCUGAGAUUCUAGAAGUACAGGAAAGGAAUGCCUGCAGAGGUUACACCGGUUACCCACUGGGCUGAGAGUUACAUUCUGGUUUUCAGGCUCCGACCAGGGCUUUCAUUUUUCCUUCUAAAUCUCCUUGGCAGAGUAAUGGAACUCAUCCUUGGUUAGGUCAUUAGGAGUCAAAUUUGGGUGGCAUGAGCUUCCCUUUGGAAACUUCUGGAAAGGAAAGCACGGGCUGGUCGGAGCAGCUAGUCUUCUCUGAGAACCCGAGCGGGGCUGCCAGGCACUUUCACCACACUGUCACGCGUGACUCAUGGCUACAGAAUCCUGAUGUCUUGAUGCGUCUGCCACACUCGGGUGCUGGGAAGACAUCAGCUUGAAUAAGGGUCGGCGAGGGUCAUGACCCUGGCACAGGAAAGGUUUAAUGAACACUGCCUUCGUUAAGUGCCCUAGGGUGGCUAGGGAGGUAGAGGAAGAGCCUGGUUUCAAGCAUUCGAUAUCGGGGCAGGAACAGGCUCAGGUGAAGGGCUACGGGCCACAGGAAAGGGAGAGACCAGAGGUUGCUUCAUGGGGAAGGCACACUUGAUGCAGCUGAAAGAUUGUUAAGUUUUGAGGUUUUGUGGGGAGCGAAGUGCGAAUGGCAUCAGCCGGGAUCCAGGGCAGAUAAGAAUGAGAGACCCACAUAUCUGUGUAUGUGUGAGAACGCCUCAUGUCAGCACUGCCCCACAGCACCUCCUGCCCUCAUGGUCUGGCUCUUGCUUAUUAGAAAUGUGCCCAGUAUGACCGUGUGAUCAAAUUUGAAAUUUUAUUUACAUUGAGGGAGUUCCU